GGGCUGUCAGCAGCUGGGGCGAGAGGCUGAGGGACAAGCGGGCUGCGGCCGCUCCCUGCAAGGGCGCCAAGGCACCAUUUCUUCGCCAUCCGUGAGGAGAACUUUGAUAUAUCACGUUAUUUUUUUUCCACAGAAGGAUCUUUUUAUGUGGUUACACAUGCACAGGUCUUGAAAACCACAAGCAAGUAAAACCAAACUUCUCCUUCACCACCUUUCUGCUUUUUCUCAGUUCCUGAAGGACUUUGAAGUGCCCAGCAUGAAGUUCCCAGCAGUGCUGAACACCCUGUGUGCCCCAAACACCCCCAGGGAACACAACUCUGCCAGCUGAGACCAACAGGACAAGACUUGAGUGACCAAGUUCCUAAAUUUCAGAAGAAUGCAGUGUCAUAAAGACCUUAAUAAUACUAUGGCCCCUCAAAAUUGGCCAUUUCCACUUAUAAAAAAGCCUUAAGAGAAUCUCCAGCUUGCUGAAAUCCUCAAGACCACGGAAACUGCAGGCAAUAAUUAUUCUCCAGACAAAAGAAACUGGAUAUAUCACACAGCAAGUGGGAGCACCAAACCAGGCAAAAGGGGGUGAGGCAGCUUUCGCUCACCAGCGUAUGAGUGGCUUAAUACUUACAUGGCUAAAUUUCAACUGAUUUGACAAUUAAACACUUGUGCUUUGAAAGACUUCAAGGCAAGUGGGGUUUUGCUUCCCAAAGUAAAGCGAGGGUUAAAUGUUUAUUAUUAUCUAACUGAUUGCUAAGAAACACUAAAACUCUUUUCUGAUCCUUCAAAAUUAAAUAUACAAUCCACCAGAUUCUAUUACUUGCUCGACUGAGUUUGAUUUUAUUGUAUUAAUAAGAAAAAAAUGUUUUAUUUCCUCCCAGAGUAUCGUCUACUUUUCCAUUACUACAACUAGAAAUUGCCAAGAAAAUGAAAUGCUCAAGCACAGCAGACACUGCUUUUCUUCUCAUUAAAUCUUAAAACUUGGUUCCAGUGGGAUCAUAUUUAGUCCUCUCAAAUUCAGAACAGGAUUUCAUCCUGCCUCGACAUCCCAACAAUGACAUUUUAUAAAUAUUACGAGUUUCUUGGACGCCUUUCUCAUUCCACAAGGAGCAGAGAAGCACCAGUAGAGAUUUCUUCUUCUUCCCCUGCUCAAGAUUUUUUAUUAAACCUUAAAUGUAACCAGUCCUCCUUUCAAUCCAUUUUCUCUAGGAUUUUUUUGAGACCUCUAGAAGUCUCACAGAUUUUUCUGAGCUGUAAUAAGUGUGAAAAAUCUUUGACAAAGGAUUGUCUUUAUUCAAGCAUUAAGCUCUCAUUGAGAGAGGUGUUGGAAAUAAACAAGUGCUUAAAAGCAGCCUAAAAGUUGUCUUAAAUCUUCACCUGCUCUCCAGCUGAGACAGGACCUGGAUUUCUAAAUCCAAGAGGAGAAAACAAUAAUUAAAAGAAGUAAAUAAAUCCUUGCAUGACUCUUUAGACAUGAGGGGGUGGGGCAAUCAGAAGAGGAGACACUGAUUUCCUCAUCUUCUGUACAAUCUCCGUGGGUGUCAGCCCAUCUCACCCUUCCAGAAGGUUCAACAUUCAAGGUAUUCUGUAAAGCCAUGCAAACACAAAGCUACUGCAGAACCAAGGAAAUGCAUCCCCAGGAAUUGCAAACUUGGAUUAUUUUCUUUUAAUUUUUCCAAGUCUACGAAUUUUGCUGUGAGGCAGCAGGGCGAGAAAUAAGAAGGCGAUAAAUCAACCUUGUGAAUGUCAGCAGUGUCAGAGAGCAAGAAGAACCAGAACAAUACCACUCAUCGUUUCCCAAAGUAUGUUGAAGUGUGGUCUGUAAAAAGCAGCUGACCUUAAAAUCUUUUUCUCUCACUGAAGCAAAUAAAAGUGACCCCAUUCUCCAGGCACACAGGCAGCACGGCCUUGUGUCUGUACAUCUCUGCUCUGCCCAGCCACCAUCCUACAUACGGAUCCACCAUGGCAAACAACAAACAGCACCAGCGUUCCCCUCGGAACCCUUGGUGCCAACUGAGCCUUCUGACUUUUCACCGCAGUUCACUUCUACCUCAGCGACCAAAGCUUCGCCAGGGAACAACUCAGGCUCACACCUCAUGAACCGACCGGCACAGCCCCCGGCACACAGACCUACCUGUCGCUGCUGGUACUGCUGCUGCUGCUGAGGGAGUCGCUGCUGGAGGAUCUGCUGCGGGAGCCGCUGCCGCUGGGGGAGCGGGCGGGCCGGGCGGCCUGGCUGGCCAGGCGCUGCGGGGACUGCGUCCUGGACUGCGACGAGUGCGGCGAGCGGCUCCGGCUGUGCUGGUAGUUCCGCUCCGGCCUUCUGCCUCGUACCUCCCGUGUAAUGUCAUCCCUGUAGAUAUCCCUGUGUACCACGCUGGGCAAUGUAAACUGCUCCCGGGCCCUAGGUUCGUAUCGGGGGUCGUGAGCGUCAAAGCGGUUUGGACUUCGGCUCCGAGAAGUGUAAUAGAGCCCGUGCUGUAAGGUCCGCUCCCGAGGGUCUCUAUAGUAAUCCUGAUCGUAAUGUCUCGUGCGAUCAAAUCCGCCCGUCCCCCGCUCAUGGUGUCCAUAGGCACUAUGUUCAUAAGCACGCUCCCUGUUAUCUGAAGCCCUGCAUUUGGGAAGGGGGAAAAAUAUUGCAUCAGAAAGGGGCAGGCACAACCAAAAGCAAAUCAUGCAAACAUUCAAGGCAGCACUCGACUUAUUGUUGCGACUGCUUCUCCACUAACCAGCAAUAACCUAUCAAGCAAACAAUGACAAACUUCAAAACAUUUUACUUGACUCCAAAGUUAUAUUUGUAUACGAUCAAGCUGAGCAAUCAUUUUGGUUUAAUCACAAUAUGGGGCUUUCAUGACCAGCAACUUGCCUGCACAGGAAAAAAAUUUCUGCUUUCCCAUGCAGAAUUCUGAUUUCAAUUGUUCUUUUUCUUUUAAAUUCUGUAAACAAGAAAAACUUCAUGUUUGUGGACAUCAUCAACUUCUUUUUCUCUCAAUUUUUUGCUUAAGAGCUUUAAAUUUUUUUUUUCAAAAUUUGGUAAUUACUGGAGCUCUUGUAAUUAUCCUUCUGCAAAAAUGGCAUCACAAAUUGGGCUGUAGCCAUGAAAGCCUCCAUGCAAAGCAUGACCCGGAGGUAAGAAGCUGCUUUCAAAAGGGGUGGCAUAACCCAUAGAGAUUUCCCAGAAAAUUAGGGGGUUUCUUGUUGCUGCUUUAAAAGAUUUCACCCUCUUAGAGGGAAUUUUUGCUUUGACCAGAUUGCUACAAUCAUUCACUGUAAACGUUAUGGAUGCUAAAGAAACAUCUCCAUUACUAAUGCUGGAACUGCAAGGAUGCAGGUGCCCAGAACAUACUAAGACCCUACACAAGGACUGGAAAUCCAAUUUUUAGGCAGUGUUUUUGUUUGGACUGCUGCAAUCAUGGAAUUUCUAUCUCCACAAGCUGCUGCUUUCCAGCAGCUACAGUCCAGUUCAUUUCAGUGUUUUGAACAUUUUAAAUUGAGAAAGGCUCAGUGAUGUUCUGAAUUAGUGUGAUCUCUCAAAUAAAGAGAUUGACAGACAAAGGAACACUACAAAUAGUUGAGUAUUCCAAUUUAGACAAGUACCAGGAUGGUACAUCUUAGUUAUAUCUACAAAAUGGUUACUUUGAACAUUUAAAAAAUACUUCUAAAAUUCUAAGUAUGUCAGGGUAGCCAAAAUUAAUUAAAAAAUUAAUUAUCCAUCUUACAAAUGACAUUUCAACCUUUUUUUCCAGCCUUCUCUCUCAGAUUCUUCCUUUAGAAUCUGUUAUGAGUCACUUCAGUCCCCUGAAUCCUGAUAACCCAAUUCUGCCUUGUGCCUCCUCCUCUCCUGCAUCACAGCUCUAGUUCGAAUGGCAGAAAUAUUUCAGGGAUCUUUUAUAAACUGCAAAUGAGAUUUCAAUCUUUUUUUGAUUAGCAUCUCAGGAAGUUCCUUCCAUUCCUUCUCCAAUGAAUCACUAGAUCCUUAAUCCUCUCAAUAUAUUCACUCUCUGUUGUUAAACUGUAACUCAUAGCAAGCUUUCUAUACGGCUCCCUCACAUCUUGCCUGCAUUUUUUUCUCUCAAAUGAUAUAUAAAAAAUUAUUUAACCAGUGCAAGAGAAUGUCAUUAUCUUCUACAUCUGCUUGAAAUUCAUUGUUGCGUUUCUAUUUCCAUUACCUCUUACUCGCAACAAUGGAAUUUUGAAAGCUAUUUCAGAAUCUGGCACAGAAACGUGUCUCUGUUUUGGUUCUUUUCUCCCCCUUUUGAAGGACCAAGAUCAACAAUUUUACAAACGAUUGCAUUUAGCAUCCUACAAAGUGUUAAUCAGUGAGAGCUGAUUUAAUGAGGUCAGAGAAAAAGCAAUAUUUUCUAGCAGGUUACUGCUACAGAGCUGACAGAAAGAACAAAUCCUUAUCCAUGAGAAGGACACAGAAGACAGACAGAGGAAGCAGAGCUGAACAGCUACUGGCUACAGUGCUUUCUUCAUUUAUCUAUUAGUACUAAGUGCUACUGGAGUUAGUGGAAAGAGAGGGUUUGACUUGGGUUAGGAGAGGGGCUAAUAUACACAGGGCAGGACAUACCAACCUUUUCCAAGUGUGGAAACACGACCUAUAUUCCCAAUUAAAUCUAGGGAGAGAAUUGUGAACAUAACUUCCCCAAUUUUGGCCCCUCUUACAGGGGUAAUCCACCUUCUUAAUGGGCAAGGGUGUCAAAUGAUAUUUUAGAUGAACCAACAAGAAAAAAAAAAUCUUAGUGACAAGACACAAAAAAAAAAAUCCACUGGACGGAAGUAGUCCCAGACUGAAACUGUAAUUCUGAAACCCCCAGACUUCUUUCUUGAGACAGAAGGCACUUAAAUAGAUCCAUAAUUUUAAUUUCCAGCCCUAAGUCUGAAUCAAGCAGCUGGUAGAAGAUCCCCCGAGGCCCGAGGGCCCUCACGCUGCUGCCAGCAGGCAUCCUCUGGCCGCCUUGGUAACCAUCCAGCCCAGUCACUUCUCACUGGUGUAUCCACAAACGGGUAUUAGCACCACGUCCUUAAAGCUAAAGUAUGUUUAAUGUGGAGCAGCAGAGCUUUUUAAGAGACUAGAUAGUAAUCCACUCCCCAUGGCUACUGGCGUCUUGACUGUAUACCAUCCAAUAAAUUCAAGGCAGUAGUUCUUAUCCCAGCUUUAAAAAAAUAAACUAUAAUUUCCAAAAUUUAGUAAUGUCCAUCAUCUCUUUUUGCCAAUACCAUCAGAAAGAAUAAUCCCAAUAACUUGGAAAUGAUGUAGAUCCAAAAUGGAACCAUCACAAGCUGCCUUCGGUCUUCUCCAUCCAAGCGUUAUUUCCAUGGCUAAGAGGUGUCGGUAGAAUCCAAGGGGCUGCAUCAUUAAAGUCUACUCUGAAUUUUGUGGUGACAAUCCAAUUAACAUACCCGCUGCGUAUAGUGAGAACUGAGAGCUAGGCAUCAAGCUUUCACCGAAUUCUAGGUUCUAGUAUUCCGAAGAUACUCCACAGAGAACUUCACCACAAGUUGUAGAGUAAGAUAGCUCCAUCUGGCAGCAGGGAUACAUCCAGCAAGGCCUUAAUAUUAUCCAAGAAAUGGGAUCGCUACUUCUAGAAAAGAGUAACUCCAAUAUCGAUGCUGGCCAAAGGAAAUCUUCCAUCUUAAAACCACCUUAUUUCAAGUGUAGGUAGAUAUCCAACCAGCUGCAGGACACAUCCUCUAUGGAUCCACAAGGUACCAGCCACUGGGAUAGAAAUCACUUCCGUUUCCAACCCAAAAUAGGAAACAUAGAUAAUUCCCAAAAUUUUAAAUCCAUCUGGGGGCCCUAGAUACGAGUUUGUGUUUCUCACCAUAUCAAAUACAAAAUACCUGCCUAGAGAAACCUUGGAACUUACCCAUCAAGUCUUCGCUCAUAACGUCCUUCCCGUGCAUGAAGUGAUGGUGGGGGGCCAUAAGUGGGCCCCCCACCACCUCCUCUGAACCCAGAAACCUCUCUACUACGAGAUGCUAUGGAAACUGUAUCAUCCAAUCCCCGCGCAGCACUGGGAAUGGUUCCUGGCUCAUUAUAAUCCGUCCGUAGGUCUCUAUCUCCCAUUUUGUUGACAGAGUUGUGUGCCUUCUGGGCACUUUUGAUGUCCACAAAAUCCACAAACGCUGCCACUCCGCCUUCCGACCCCCUCUUAGGGAGGAUUUUGACACUUUCGACACGUCCAUAUCUGGAAGAGAAGCAAAGCAGAGCACACACGUUAGUGCUGGUGGGAAGAGACCAUGUUUAAUAACAUUGCCUCCUGCAAAAUCAACAUCCAACCCUUCACCCUUCCCCUCUGCCAGAAAAAUCAAUCAUUGGGAGACACCAAGAGGGGAAAAGCCAUUUGGAGAGGGGAAAAAGCCAUUUAAACUUUCCAUGGUUACAUUUAAACUCCUUUCUGGAAGUGUGGGAAGCCUACCAUGGGAUCACCCUUUUUAUAGCAACAGAGCAGCAGCAGCUGAAGAAAUAGAAAGGUGUUCACAACCAGAGCACCCUGCACAUCAUUAGUCUGACACAAUUAAAGAGGCACAAUUAAAACAAAACCGUGUCACGAGGAAAAAUACAGACAGCCAACAAUUUUCUUAGGAGACAAAUGACCUUGACACAGCAAUUCCACUACUUCAAUCUGUAUUUAACCCAGAGUCUCCACUGCUUCUGAUCCCAAACCAGUUCACUUCCACACCUGGCAGGACACACGGACCCCCAGACCAGGUGCUGCUGGGGUUCAGCCUCCCACCCCCACUGCAGACCCAGCUGCCCAACAGGAGCUGAGAAAUGCCAGAGGGAAUGUGACACCACCCUAAUGUAUGUUAAGUAACUGCAACACUGGCACUUAUGGAUGAGUAAAUGUCUAUGCAAAAUAAAAAUAAACCCAAACAUGUUUGUGUACACAAGGAAACAAGAUGUAGAAACAUAUUUAAAUAACUUGCAUCCACUCACAGUAGAAAGGACAAGCUGGGCGGGAUGAGCACAGUGACAUUUUAACAGCCAACAACUGCAGGGUUUGGGUGCUCAGUUCUCUCUGCCAAAAGAUUCUGAGCAAACCAGGGAAAAGCUUUGAAUUGCAGCUGGUAAUCCAGGACAAGAAAAGGCAGAAAGUGUAUUUCUGAAUGUGCCGACAGAGGAAAGGGACGCACAAAUAAAAAACCUAAUCAGGAAGUAUUUGUAAACUCCAUGAAGAGUUAUUGUGAAAAAAUUUCUAUGCACAAAGGCAGCACAAGGCCAGGCAGAUGUAAACAGACCUUGCACAGGCAAAACUGUUCUCAGCCACACACGCAGGGAGAAGGAACACAACCGCCAGGCUGAGGCACACGCUGUCAGAUCCCCGAGCUGCCUCGGUUUCAUGCCUGCCUUUUCCUACACCUUACAAUUUCAGCAUUGUUGUUGGAUGACUAAUCCUUAAAUACGAUCUGAAAACCUGCCUCGCUGACUGCUGCCUUCUCAUUCCAGCCUGACCUACUACACUUAUAUAUAACCUGGUUUGGAUUUAGAGCCCUUUUUUCCCUGGUUUAUACUCCACUGAACACGGCUGUGCACACAAACAAGAGCAUCUUCCCAGAAAAAUAUAAAUGCCUUGUUGGGCAUAAAGAGACACAGUCACACGCAAGACAUGUUCCUGCCUCUUAGCUGUCCAGGGCUGAGCUUGUCACCUUUGUGCCCCUGGGUACAGCACAGGGAUGUUAAUUCUUGGGAGUUUCCUAAUCUGUAAUUCUCUGGUUAUUUUUUUAUUGUUUCUUUGUAUUUUAUUUCAUUAAAAGCUUCAAAUAAUGGCAAA